CAGUCGCCGCGGUAAAACGAAGGGUGCAAGCGUUAAUCGGAAUUACUGGGCGUAAAGCGUGCGUAGGCGGUUUGUUAAGUCUGCUGUGAAAUCCCCGGGCUCAACCUGGGAAUGGCAGUGGAUACUGGCAAGCUAGAGUGUGUCAGAGGAUGGUGGAAUUCCCGGUGUAGCGGUGAAAUGCGUAGAGAUCGGGAGGAACAUCAGUGGCGAAGGCGGCCAUCUGGGACAACACUGACGCUGAGGCACGAAAGCGUGGGGAGCAAACAGGAUUAGAUACCCCCGUAGUCCCUGUCUCUUAUAC
rnacentral:rRNA from 1 species